CCUACGGGGUGCAGCAGUGAGGAAUAUUGGUCAAUGGACGCAAGUCUGAACCAGCCAUGCCGCGUGCAGGAAGACGGCUCUAUGAGUUGUAAACUGCUUUUGUACGAGGGUAAACGCAGAUACGCGUAUCUGUCUGAAAGUAUCGUACGAAUAAGGAUCGGCUAACUCCGUGCCAGCAGCCGCGGUAAUACGGAGGAUUCAAGCGUUAUCCGGAUUUAUUGGGUUUAAAGGGUGCGUAGGCGGUCGGAUAAGUUAGAGGGGAAAUCCCGAGGCUCAACUUCGGAAUUGCCUCUGAUACUGUUCGGCUAGAGAGUAGUGGCGGUAGGCGGAAUGUAUGGUGUAGCGGUGAAAUGCUUAGAGAUCAUACAGAACACCGAUUGCGAAGGCAGCUUACCAAGCUACUUCUGACGUUGAGGCACGAAAGCGUGGGGAGCAAACAGGAUUAGAUACCCGGGUAGUC
rnacentral:rRNA from 1 species